AGUGUCACAAAUAAUAGUUUUUUUUUAUGUUUGCUUUUUUUACGGAAAAUUAAUAGUCUACUAAUAAAAACAGCUUUGCCAUGAAAAGCGUUUGGGCCCUAAUAAAGUGUUGGAAUAAACUGUGAUCUUCAAUUUUAGUAUUUAGUUAGAACACAGGGUGUGACAGAUAUUAGAUUUAAUACAGGAACAGGACGACCUUCUUGCAUUGUUAAAUGUUAUGAAUGGGUCACACAGCCCGUA